GAUGAAGAACGUAGCAAAAUGCGAUAAGUAAUGUGAAUUGCAGAAUUCAGUGAAUCAUCGACUCUUUGAACGCACAUUGCGCCCGCCAGUAUUCUGGCGGACAUGCCUGUUCGAGCGUCAUUUCAACCCUCAAGCUCAGCUUGGUGUUGGGACUCGCGGUAACCCGCGUUCCCCAAAUCGAUUGGCGGUCACGUCGAGCUUCCAUAGCGUAGUAAUCAUACACCUCGUUACUGGUAAUCGGCGCGGCCACGCCGUAAAACCCCAACUUCUGAAUGUUGACCUCGGAUCAGGUAGGAAUACCCGCUGAACUUAAGCAUAUCAAUAAGCGGAGGA
rnacentral:misc_RNA from 1 species